AAAAAGUUAGUUAAAAUAUAACAUUAAUAUGUCAUAUUAAAAUUAUUAGCAUCUUUAAUACUUUUUU
rnacentral:tRNA from 1 species